GUGUCAGCAGCCGCGGUAAAACGUAGGACACGAGCGUUAUCCGGAGUUACUGGGCGUAAAGGGCGUGCAGGCGGUUUUGUAAGUUUGAUGUGAAAGCGCCCGGCUUAACCGGGCGAGGACAUUGGAGACUGCAAGACUAGAGGCAGAUAGAGGGGUGUAGAAUUCCGGGUGUAGUGGUGAAAUGCGUAGAGAUCCGGAGGAAUACCAGAGGCGAAGGCGGCACCCUGGGUCUGACCUGACGCUGAGACGCGACAGCAUGGGGAGCGAACGGGAUUAGAUACCCUCGUAGUCC
rnacentral:rRNA from 1 species